rnacentral:lncRNA from 1 species
AUGCUUUGUGGUUUUAAGCUGUAUUUUGGUGCUACAACUUUAUAUACACUUUUUUUAUUGUUGUUUUUAGACGAUGUCUCUGUUUCCUUCUCAUUCGGAAAUGGAUGGGUGGACAGAUGCAACACACUGAAAGAACAGCUGUACAGAAGCCUAGAAAACGUUCCUGCCGCUGCCAACACAAACGGACAAACAAAGAUUUCAAGUCAUAGACUGGGUUGA